AUGAACAUUUAAGGAAAAAGAUGAGGAAAUAAUGGAGACAAUAGUGAAUUCAAGUGUAAGAAAGUUUUAUUCGAAAAUUGAUCAGAUCGACUUGCCAAUUGGUUUCAUUUAUCAACCAAUAUGUGCCAAGGUCAACCCAAGGUCAUCCAAUCAACGGCGUCCGACCAAGCAUUACUUCCAUUGAGAGGGUGAUUCUGAUUCAAUUAUACUAUUGAAUAUUAACUAGUGAAUUGUACCCCGGCUCCCGAGACGUCACAGAAGAAGGAAGUGCAGUUCUGCUACAGUAGAGGCAGAAUGUCACCUUGUAGCGCCAUCUUCACGCU